rnacentral:lncRNA from 1 species
GAUUUGAUGAAAGAGGUUUUUAAUUGUUACCUUUUUUGGGCACUUUUGACUUGAUUGAAAGAUGAUUGCCCGCUGCUCGCGCAUAGAAAUCCUGGUAUGCCUCAAGGGUAUUUUUGUCCUAUUUUGUCCAAAAGUCCACGUGUCGCCUAGUAAAUAUUUUUGACUCCACAACUAUUCAUGAAGAGUAAAAAAUUGCAACUCUUCAUUUGAGUAGACACAUCUUUCUACCAAAAGGCUCCACUUCUAAUUUCCAUUCAAUUAAUAAAUUUAAUAUAAUAAUAUUAUUAUUAAAUUUUCCAACAAUCCCCCACAUGAAUGGAAAUUGACUCAAUACCAUGCAAAUGACAAUGCAGACACUAGAGAGAUAAUUUAGUAGGAAAAGUAUCACAUCAGGAUAGGUGGCUUUUGGCUUUGAACCUUCCGUAGUGAAUUACUAUCGGAUUUACUUGGCUAAUCAGUGAACGCGAUAUCUUGAACUGCUCAGCCAUUUGUGUAAACCAAGACAAUAGUAAUCACACGGUACCCUUCCAAACACCCCAUGGUUGCUCGAUUGUGUUCAUUUUGGCCCUGAACAAUUAUUGGUUUCUCAUGAGUGCUUUUAAAGAACUGAGCCCUACAAAAAAUUCUCACAUGAACGGCCCCAUUCCUCACUCAAGAUAGAUGACUUCCCAUUAAGAGUAUCCUGCAAUACCCCACUUGUUAUUUCCAAAUAUAGGAAUCAUUAAAAGCAAAGUUUAUCCUAAAUACGCUGCAGACAACACUGUUUCAUCAUAGGACAUGGGUAAAACGUAAUCUCCGCAAUGCUCCCAUUGAAUCAUCCACAAUUCGGUUGUCCCCUUGAACCUAGAUCUUGGGAUCUCCAGUCAGCUAGGUUGGGUUGCCAUUAUGGCGAUUCUUAAGACGUGGGCUUUUAACCCAUUCCCCUCGAUGAUACAACUUAUUCUCUAGUCAAACCCUUAAUUAAUUGGAUCCACUAGAGGUUGAUGACUAUCAGUUAAAGUGCGCACUUCCAUUUAUGAAAUUAUAUUUCAUUCAAGAGUAGUUGUUUUCCAACAUUAAGUCCUUCAAAACAUAUGUUAGGACUUAAAAAGUAAUUUGCUAAUACUCAGGGUACAUUCCCCCACAUUUAAGGUAUUUGCUAGAAGAUCUCCAACCUUUCAAUACCUUAAAAUUACCAUUAUAAGAAAUGACAUUUUGAUUGUCUCAUUCAAUUAGCACAUUAUAUUUCCAUUCUUCUUAAAUAAAUCUCAUAUCUCAAAAUUAGAUAAGUUACCUCCACAAUUCUUUGAUAAUUGUGGUUAAUUUAACGUCAUUGUUAAAUCGAUCACGUUUUUUUUUUUUUUAUGAAGUAGGAAACAACUAAGACAGACCUUAUAUAUCUAUCUUCUUAGGCCUUCAUGCCUCACUGGCCAUUAUGGAAAAAGCACUUCUUGGCUUUCAUCCCUUCCGCACUCUGACUAACAUACACGACCCAAUGGCCAUGUCCAUUAAUAUGCUUACUUAAUAAGUAUCAUUAUGCAUGUCUAAUACAAUUAUGCGAAAUGCUCCGCACAUUUUUAGUGUCGUCUUUUCCUUUGUGAAAGACCCCCACAAUUUCAAGAUUAUUUCUCUACUGAUAUCAUUUUGAAUAACACUCAAUAAUAUUCAUUUUCUCCAUGGCAAAUGCAUCACUCUCCUCGGCAAAGAAGCAAAACACAUGAACUAAAUGCUUCUCAAGAAAUCUUCCAGAAAGUUAAGUGAUAUAUGACUACAGUCAUAUAAGUCAUAUAAUUGUUCGUAAUAGUAUGAUGAUAUCAUUCUAGGCCUCUUGAAAUUGAUGAAUUAAUCUCUUCGAAGAAAUCAGAUAAAUGAUUUUGCAACAUUAUUAUCACUAUAUGAUAAUACAUCCAGUCGGUAUGUAGAAGUUUACAUACCAACCCAUGAACACGUAUUCAAAUUUAAGAAUGGCAAUGACUAGUUGGAAAGGUCGUACCCUUUCACUGUCAAAAGUAGCACUUCAAAUGGCAUGCUUUUUGCUUGGAAUCUCAUAUGGCAGAUUCCACCUUUUGGUUCCACCACCUUACAGAAACUAUUCAUUUGUCAAUUAAUUGCAUCUUUUUGCAUCUUAACCGCUACAUGGUUCUAAAUGUCCCAAAAUUCUUGACUCAAAUGAAUAUAGAACCGUCAAGCCGCGGUCUUACCGAUUUCUCUUUUAUCUAGAAUCUCCAACUGGUCAAUUGUGAUGGAGUUUUACAUAUACCAUAUAUAUUUUACAGAACACCCAAUGAUUCGUUUCAGGACUUCACACAUAUGAAUACAACAAAUCAAGGUAUGCAUCUAACUGUCAUACUAAUUUCACACCAUUCUCAUCCCGUGUCAGUUGUCUUAGUGUUGCACACAUGAGGCUUUGAAACAUGUAAUUCUUUCCCAGAAGAUUAGUGCAUGCACAAAAUAAAAGGGAACUAUUAUAUUAAAGCAACAACUCCCCAUGCGUAUACAAGAUGAAUAUAUACACAGACCAAAUACAGUUCAACACCAUAGUUUUUCAAUAUAUCAUCAUGCCUUAUGACAUUUUCAUUUCUGAAAUGAUAAAACCUUAACAGUUAUUGAGUUCCAAACCGUUUGACAUGCAAAACAACAUGAUCCAUUGUCCAAAUGAAUGUAUUAUGGCGAAAUUACCAUUCAAAACUAUGUUAAAACACCAAUCCAAACUAUUAUAAGAGAUACGUAUAUUCAACAGUACGCAAAACCCAUCAAAUGUAAGCAACCGUGUAACUUUUCAAUCAAAGCAAAUGGCAAUUCAUUCAUCUACUAAAUGAAUAUAUCUAAAACUGAUUGUCAAAAAGAAACGAACCUAAGUUUCUUAAUAUAAGUACUUUGUGAAUCACGUAUAGCAAAUAAACCUAUAAACUUGUCUUAAGAUUGUUGGAAAAAUUGGGUCUAAUUGCUAUAAUAAAUCACACAAAAAAUCAAGAAAUAAUUCAUGAAAUUAUAUAUCACAAUCAUGCAUGCACAUGAGUAACCAAUGUUAAAUGAACAUGAAAAACCCAAGCAUGCAAUCAUGCAAAACAAGCAGCAAUUAUGAAGUAACACCUAUGUAAUGCCAAUUCGGAAUUGAUGACAAAAUUAUAGCAACCAAACCUAAACUUGUCUUAAGAUUGUUGGAAAAAUUGGGUCUAAUUGCUAUAAUAAAUCACAUAGAAAAUCAAGAAAUAAUUCAUGCAAUUAUAUAUCACAAUAAUGCAUGCA